AUUUCCCCUUUGGUAGGAGGCUGUUCAGUGUCAUUUCCAGUCAUUUCUCUUAGGCUCAUUAAAGCUGAAUGAAUGUUGGUGGUUUUUUCCUCUUAGUUAAAUAAUUAA